GUGUGUUAUGGGGCUAUAAUGCAAAAAGACCAAGGUCUUCAAAUGACUACAUAAAGCAGAGCCCUUGGUGUUAUCCAGAGGUCUGAGCUGUUGCAUCUUGAUCUCCAGGAGUUGGUUCCCUCGGGCCUAGGUCUUGUUUCCCAGGUCUGUCUCCAUGCAUGGCCUCUGCUCUGGGUCUCUUCCUGCCAAACUGCAAGAUCUUUAUCAUCAAAGUAUCCUGGGGCCAGGUAUCAUAUUUACCCAGGAAAAGCACAACACAUGGUCAUGACAUUAUAGUAAAGAGUCUUGAAUUCAGAUGGAGGAGGAGAAAGAAACCUGUCCUGGGAGUCAAGAUUCCCAAAGUGCACCUUCAUCUCAAUUAAGAGGCAUGUUAGCUCUGCUGUGGUAUAGUGUUUUCAGUGACGGGACAGGCAUGGAGGAAGAUAAUCAAAGUCCUCUUAUGUGACAUGGCAAGGAGAUUAGAGUGAAAGAGAACCAGGAAGAUGAGCUCUAAAGACAGAGACGAUGGACAUAUGAAGAGAAGUUGAAGCUCAGGACCUGGUAGAGAGCCAUGGGGUUUAACCUAAGGUAUGAAUGAAU
rnacentral:lncRNA from 1 species